rnacentral:rRNA from 1 species
AACGUAGGAUCCGAGCGUUAUCCGAAUUCACUGGGCGUAAAGCGCGUGCAGGCGGUUCGGUAAGUUGGAUGUAAAAUCUCCUGGCUCAACUGGGAGGGGACGUUCAAUACUGUCGGACUAGAGGACGGCAGAGGAAGGUGGAAUUCCCGGUGUAGUGGUGAAAUGCGUAGAUAUCGGGAGGAACACCAGUGGCGAAGGCGGCCUUCUGGGCCGUACCUGACGCUCAGACGCGAAAGCUAGGGGAGCAAACGGG